rnacentral:rRNA from 1 species
GAUGAACGCUAGCUACAGGCUUAACACAUGCAAGUCGAGGGGAAACGAUAUUGGAAGCUUGCUUCCGAUAGGCGUCGACCGGCGCACGGGUGAGUAACGCGUAUCCAACCUGCCCAUCACUUGGGGAUAACCUUGCGAAAGUAAGACUAAUACCCAAUGACGUCUCUAGAAGACAUCUGAAAGAGAUUAAAGAUUUAUCGGUGAUGGAUGGGGAUGCGUCUGAUUAGCUUGUUGGCGGGGUAACGGCCCACCAAGGCGACGAUCAGUAGGGGUUCUGAGAGGAAGGUCCCCCACAUUGGAACUGAGACACGGUCCAAACUCCUACGGGAGGCAGCAGUGAGGAAUAUUGGUCAAUGGACGAGAGUCUGAACCAGCCAAGUAGCGUGCAGGAUGACGGCCCUAUGGGUUGUAAACUGCUUUUAUAAGGGAAUAAAGUGAGUCUCGUGAGGCUUUUUGCAUGUACCUUAUGAAUAAGGACCGGCUAAUUCCGUGCCAGCAG